UACGUAGGGGGCAAGCGUUGUCCGGAUUUAUUGGGCGUAAAGAGCGUGUAGGCGGCUAGAUAGGUCCGUUGUGAAAACUCGAGGCUCAACCUCGAGACGUCGAUGGAAACCAUCUGGCUAGAGUCCGGAAGAGGAGAGUGGAAUUCCUGGUGUAGCGGUGGAAAUGCGCAGAUAUCAGGAAGAACACCCGUGGCGAAGGCGGCUCUCUGGUACGUGACUGACGCUGAGACGCGAAAAGCGUGGGGGAGCAAACAGG
rnacentral:rRNA from 1 species